GACGAACGCUGGCGGCGUGCCUAACACAUGCAAGUUGAGCGGGAUGUAUACUUCGAGAGAUUUCGAUUGACGAAGAUGCAGGAGAGCAGCGGACGGGUGAGUAACGCGUGAGCAAUCUGCCCUGUGGAGGGGGAUAGCCUCCGGAAACGGAGAUUAAUACCGCAUAACACUGCACUGUCGCAUGAUAGAGCAGUCAAAACUCAGGUGCCACAGGAUGAGCUCGCGUCUCAUUAGCUAGUUGGUAGGGUAAAAGCCUACCAAGGCGACGAUGAGUAGCCGACCUGAGAGGGUGAUCGGCCACACUGGGACUGAGACACGGCCCAGACUCCUACGGGAGGCAGCAGUGGGGAAUAUUGCGCAAUGGGGGAACCCUGACGCAGCAACGCCGCGUGAAUGAAGAAGGCUUUCGAGUCGUAAAAUUCUGUCCUCAGGGAAGAAGAAGUGACGGUACCUGAGGAGGAAGCCCCGGCUAACUACG
rnacentral:rRNA from 1 species